AUGAACGCUAGCGGCAGGCUUAACACAUGCAAGGUCGAGGGGCAGCGUGAUGAAGUAGCAAUACGGAUUUGAUGGCGACCGGCGCACGGGUGAGUAACGCGUAUCCAACCUGCCCAUUACUCGGGCAUAGCCCAGUGAAAACUGGAUUAACUCCCGAUACUGUUCUGAUGCGGCAUCUUAUCAGGACAAAAGUUUACGGUAAUGGAUGGGGGAUGCGUCUGAUUAGGUAGUAGGCGGGGUAACGGCCCACCAUGGCGACGAUGUCUAGGGGUUCUGAGAGGAAGGUCCCCCACACUGGAACUGAGACACGGUCCAGACUCCUACGGGAGGCAGCAGUGAGGAAUAUUGGUCAAUGGCCGAGAGGCUGAACCAGCCAUGCCGCGUGAAGGUCACGGCCCUAUGGGUCUUAAACUUCUUUUGCAAGGGAGCAAUAAGCCUCACGUGUGGGGCGAUGAGAGUACCUUGCGAAUAAGCAUCGGCUAACUCCGUG
rnacentral:rRNA from 1 species